rnacentral:rRNA from 1 species
CUAAGAAUAUUCCGCAAUGGACGGAAGUCUGACGGAGCGACGCCGCGUGGAUGACGAAGGCCGAAAGGUUGUAAAGUUCUUUUGCUGGGGAAGAAUAACCGCAGGAGGGAAUGCCUGUGGGAUGACAAGAACCGGCGAAUAAGCCCCGGCCAACUACGUGCCAGCAGCCGCGGUAACACGUAGGGGGGCGAGCGUUGUUCGGAAUUACUGGGCGUAAAGGGCAUGUAGGCGGCUUGGAAAGCCUGGCGUGAAAGUCUGCAGCUUAACUGCAGGGGUGCGCUGGGAACUGCUGAGCUUGAGUGACGGAGAGGGAGCUGGAAUUCCUGGUGUAGGGGUGAAAUCUGUAGAUAUCAGGAAGAACACCGAUGGCGAAGGCAAGCUCCUGGCCGAUGACUGACGCUGAGGUGCGAAAGUGUGGGGAUCAAACAGGAUUAGAUACCCUGGUAGUCCACACAGUCAACGAUGUGCACUAGGUGCUGGGGCGGUAGCUUCGGUGCCGGAGCGAACGUGGUAAGUGCACCGCCUGGGGAGUAUGCUCGCAAGGGUGAAACUCAAGGAAUUGAC